rnacentral:rRNA from 1 species
UCAGUUCAGAUUGUAGGCUGCAACUCGCCUACAUGAAGUCGGAAUUGCUAGUAAUCGCGGAUCAGCAUGCCGCGGUGAAUACGUUCCCGGGCCUUGUACACACCGCCCGUCACACCAUGAGAGCCGGUAACACCCGAAGUCAGUAGCCUAACCGCAAGGGGGGCGCUGCCGAAGGUGGGAUUGGUAAUUGGGGUGAAGUCGUAACAAGGUAUC